rnacentral:rRNA from 1 species
UCCACGCCGUAAACGAUGGAUACUAGUUGUUUGGAUUUAUCUGAGUGACUAAGCGAAAGUGAUAAGUAUCCCACCUGGGGAGUACGAACGCAAGUUUGAAACUCAAAGGAAUUGACGGGGGCCCGCACAAGCGGUGGAGCAUGUGGUUUAAUUCGAUGAUACGCGAGGAACCUUACCAAGGCUUAAAUGGGAAACGACGUAUUUGGAAACAGAUAUUUCU